AAUGGCUCGUGAGCUGGACAUAUCACAACAUUCCAUUCGCCAAAUAUUGAAAAAAGAGCUCGGGGUAAAGCCAUUGAAAUUCCAUUGAAAUGCAAGAACUUACACCGCAACAGAAAGAAAAUAGACUCAAAAGAGCUAAAGCCUUGCUUCGCUUGGCCGAAAGUGGUAAACUGACGAAAUUCGCCGUUUGUAAACAAACAAAAUGAUCGUGUUUACUUGCCAAAGAGGUCAGCUGAAAAAAAUGUGGACCUUCGAUUGGCCACCAUAAGUCAAGCGCCGGCCAUGGUGAUGGUGUGGGCAGCCAUAACAGCCCAUGGUCGUUCUCCACUCGUAUUUAUCGACCGUGGCAUCAAAAUAAAUGCCGAAUAUUAUCGCGAAAAUAUUCUGGAGGGUGUAUUAAAGACUUGGGCACGCAAACUGUUUUGGUCUCAGACCUCGGACAUUCCAACAGGACUCAGCACCAUCGCACUCAGCACGUGCCACCCAAGAAUGGUUACAAAAUGGGGUUCCUCACUUCAUUUCCAGCGCACAAUGGCCACCAAAAUCUCCGAAUACCAAUCCGUUGGACUAUUGUGUCUGGAGUAUUUUGGAAAGCAAGGUUGGCACUGAAAAA